GACGAACGCUGGCGGCGUGCUUAACACAUGCAAGUCGAACGGAAAGGCCCUGCUUUUGUGGGGUGCUCGGGUGGCGAACGGGUGAGUAACACGUGAGUAACCUGCCCUUGACUUUGGGAUAACUUCAGGAAACUGGGGCUAAUACCGGAUAGGAGCUCCUGCUGCAUGGUGGGGGUUGGAAAGUUUCGGCGGUUGGGGAUGGACUCGCGGCUUAUCAGCUUGUUGGUGGGGUAGUGGCUUACCAAGGCUUUGACGGGUAGCCGGCCUGAGAGGGUGACCGGCCACAUUGGGACUGAGAGACGGCCCAGACUCCUACGGGAGGCAGCAGUGGGGAAUAUUGCACAAUGGGCGGAAGCCUGAUGCAGCAACGCCGCGUGCGGGAUGACGGCCUUCGGGUUGUAAACCGCUUUCGCCUGUGACGAAGCGUGAGUGACGGUAAUGGGUAAAGAAGCACCGGCUAACUACGUG
rnacentral:rRNA from 1 species